CUAUCUCACUAGUGUAUACCUUCGGACCAAUCGGACGAGCCUCCCAUGACUUCGUCUACUUCCUCCCCUCCUGAUCCGCACUAUAUCACUCCAGUUCAACACUUGCCCAUUUCCUCUGUUCCUACUCCACUCCACUCUUCCCCAAUUGAUGGGGAAAUAUGUUCCGAAACACAACCAUCCUCUUUACCUCCUUCUCGCCCAAGUG
rnacentral:lncRNA from 1 species